rnacentral:rRNA from 1 species
CUUCCGUAAGGGUGACCUGCGGAAGGAUCAUUACAGAAUGAAAAGUGCUUAACUGCAUUUUUUCUUACACAUGUGUUUUUCUUUUUUUGAAAACUUUGCUUUGGUAGGCCUUCUAUAUGGGGCCUGCCAGAGAUUAAACUCAACCAAAUUUUAUUUAAUGUCAACCGAUUAUUUAAUAGUCAAAACUUUCAACAACGGAUCUCUUGGUUCUCGCAUCGAUGAAGAACGCAGCGAAAUGCGAUAAGUAAUAUGAAUUGCAGAUAUUCGUGAAUCAUCGAAUCUUUGAACGCACAUUGCGCCCUUUGGUAUUCCAAAGGGCAUGCCUGUUUGAGCGUCAUUUCUCCCUCAAACCCUCGGGUUUGGUGUUGAGCGAUACGCUGGGUUUGCUUGAAAGAAAGGCGGAGUAUAAACUAAUGGAUAGGUUUUUUCCACUCAUUGGUACAAACUCCAAAACUUCUUCCAAAUUCGACCUCAAAUCAGGUAGGACUACCCGCUGAACUUAAGCAUAUCAAUAAGGCGGAGGAAGA